rnacentral:rRNA from 1 species
GACGAACGCUGGCGGCGUGCUUAACACAUGCAAGUCGAACGGGCCCGCUCUCUUUUUUGGGGGUGGGUUGAGUGGCGAACGGGUGAGUAUCACGUGAGUAACCUGCCCCCUGCUCCUGGAUAACUGCUUGAAAGGGCGGCUAAUACGGGGUGUGCCGGCUGGUCCGCAUGGGCCUGGUCGGGAUAGUUUCAUCUUCGGGUGUUUCGGUGGGGGAUGGGCUCGCGGCCUAUCAGCUUGUUGGUGGGGUGAUGGCCCACCAAGGCGGUGACGGGUAGCCGGCCUGAGAGGGUGGGCGGCCACACUGGGACGGAGACACGGCCCAGACUCGGGCGGGAGGCAGCAGUGGGGGGUAUUGCACAAUGGGCGGAAGCCUGAUGCAGCGACGUCGCGUGAGGGAUGGAGGCCUUCGGGUUGUGAACCUCUUUCUCCGGUGGUGAAGGCCCUGUCCGUUGCGGCGGGGUUGACGGUAGCCGGGUAUGAAGCGCCGGCUAACUACGUG